rnacentral:rRNA from 1 species
CCUACGGGUGGCUGCAGUGGGGAAUAUUGCACAAUGGGCGAAAGCCUGAUGCAGCAACGCCGCGUGAAGGAAGACGGCUUUCGGAUUGUAAACUUCUGUUCUUAGUGAAGAAUCAUGACGGUAACUAAGGAGCACGCCACGGCUAACUACGUGCCAGCAGCCGUGGCAAUACGUAGGUGGCCGGCGUUGUCCGGAAUUACUGGGUGUAAAGGGAGCGUAGGCGGGAAGCCAAGUCAGCUGUGAAAACUACGGGGUUAACCUGUAGCCUGCAGUUGAAACUGCCUUUCUUGAGUGAAGUAGAGGUUGGCGGAAUGCGGGGUGUAGCGGUGAAAUGCGUAGAUAUUCGGCGGAACACCGAUGGCGAAGGCGGCCAACUGGGCUUUAACUGACGCUGAGGCUCGAAAGUGUGGGGAGCAAACAGGAUUAGAUACCCGAGUAGUC